rnacentral:tRNA from 1 species
GCCCGUGUAGCUCAACGGAAGAGCCUCUGCCCUACAAGCAGACUGUUGGGGGUUCGAAUCCCUCCGCGGGUA